UGAACGCUGGCGGCGUGCCUCAUACAUGCAAGUCGAGCGAACGGACGAGAAGCUUGCUUCUCUGAUGUUAGCGGCGGACGGGUGAGUAACACGUGGAUAACCUACCUAUAAGACUGGGAUAACUUCGGGAAACCGUAGCUAAUACCGGAUAAUAUUUUGAACCGCAUGGUUCAAAAGUGAAAGACGGUCUUGCUGUCACUUAUAGAUGGAUCCGCGCUGCAUUAGCUAGUUGGUAAGGUAACGGCUUACCAAGGCAACGAUGCAUAGCCGACCUGAGAGGGUGAUCGGCCACACUGGAACUGAGACACGGUCCAGACUCCUACGGGAGGCAGCAGUAGGGAAUCUUCCGCAAUGGGCGAAAGCCUGACGGAGCAACGCCGCGUGAGUGAUGAAGGUCUUCGGAUCGUAAAACUCUGUUAUUAGGGAAGAACAUAUGUGUAAGUAACUGUGCACAUCUUGACGGUACCUAAUCAGAAAGCCACGGCUAACUACGUG
rnacentral:rRNA from 1 species